rnacentral:lncRNA from 1 species
AUGAUUGGCAGGGAAAGAUGGGUAAUGGAUGGCAGGGGAGGCAUGAAGAUGCAUACCUCGGUGGGCAUGGGAUGCAGCACCACGGUGAGCACGGGAUGCAGCACCACGGUGAGCACGGGAUGAAGCACCACGGUGAGCACGGGAUGCAGCACCACGGUGAGCACGGGAUGAAGCACCACGGUGCGCACGGAAUGAAGCACCAGGACAGGCUUAUGGCUCCGCAGGUGUUACCACAUCAUGUCUACAUGAACCCAAACAGCGGAGGCGGCCACCACAAGGCCGGGUGGGGGAAUAAGGGACUCUAACUGCAACCAACUACUCUACCGGUUCAAAUAAAAAGUAAUGAUUAUGUAUAAUACCAGUUAACGAAACUAUAAUUAAGAUGUGUGUGUGAGGAACAUGUUUCAGCA